UAAAGACCCGAAUCAAAUGGCUUAAAAUCAAUCAAUUUAUAUUCGUUAUGUAUUUGUUUACCAAUAUAUUUGCAUACGCUAUCCAACACUUGACAAAUAAAACCGAAUGUUUUAGUUUCCGGACUUGGUACCACAAUCCCAAAGAAUGUCUUAAAAAGGAUUGCAUAUGUACCUAAGUAGUCUCAUCCUCACAAUCUUCCUAUUGAUAAUGUAUCAUUAGAAGAAUAUGUUAGAAAAGGUCUAUCAUAAAGAGGACAACACUUUUAAUGUCAUAAUUCUUCAAUUACAAAUUGUUGUAUGAAGAAAUAGGAGUUGCUUUGAACAACCCUUAGUCAAUGCAAACCUUAGUGCUUGUUUCUUUGUUAAAUGAACAAAGAACUUGAGAAGAAAGCACAAAGGCAUGGACACUUUAUGUGCCAUAAUUCUUCACUUGCAAAUUGUUGUAUGAAGAAAUGAGAGUUGCCUUGUACAACUCUUGAAGGUUUGUAAUUAUGUUUAGAACAUAAU
rnacentral:lncRNA from 1 species